ensembl:lncRNA
GGGAUCAAAAAGAAAGAGGACAUUCAAUUCAAAUAAGGUUAAAAGACUGAGGCACAGAGAAAUGGAAGGAAGAGACAAUUUUUGAAGCAGAGGAGAAAGAAGGCUAUAACCCAAAAACCCAUCCUGAAGUGUAAAAAUGUUAGUCAUCUCCAAUGGCCCUUGGAUAUAAGCUUUCCAAAUAUAUUCUCAUACUCUAUAUAGACGCACUGAUGACACUCCAGCAGUUCAGCAACAGGAAAUCUGAAAUAGUGGCACUAAAUGACAAGGAAAAAAAAUCACCAGGGAGAAAACUCUCCAUAAAAGUCUGAGGAUUAUUAUGGAGCAUUGGGAAAUGUUGCCAGUGCUGGACUGAAUACUCGUUGAGCCUUCAUUUCUCAGACAUCAUUGAUUAAAGGUGGAUGGAAAACUGCCAUACAAAAAGAGCAGACUCACGAGCUUCAGCUUUGCCUGUUUCCAUCUGCUUUGGGGCUGUAAGUGCAAAUCUGUGUAACAAAAUUGGCAUUUUUAAUCUUGUGUUUAGGGCCCAAGCAAAAGUGGUUGGACUGAGGAGGGGCUGUGUCACCACCAUUAACACAUGAUGCUCAUGAGGCUGUGCCCCCUUCAUUUGGAACUCCUUUAAGAAAUGGGAAGCAAACUGCAGGAGCCAGAAACAUCUGUCAUGGACUUGGAUUUAUCAGCGUUUUUUAAAGCAAUGGAUGUGUCUGCUUGCUGGGAUCCAUCAAUUAUGAGGGCAUAUAUAAGCUGUUUAAACAUUUCCAUGUGGUUUUGGGGUCUCCCUCAGAGAUGUCCUAUGUCCAUCAUGUCCACGCUCAUUUAUUCCGACACACAGAGAAUCCACCAUGACUGAUGACACUGCAAAAGUGAGUGAUGGGCCUUUCCUUGGUGGGUUUGUGCAGAGAUUACCCAUCUGCACACAGAAAGAGAGAAAAUGCACAUAGGUUUUAGUGGGGGGUACCUGAAAGAGUUUGUACUGGGUUGAUUCAAGACAUUAGUUUUUCAAGCCAAAGAGCUCAAAGAAAUAAGAAGCAGAAAUAUGGUAGUAUAUGAAAAUAUCACCUCUGCUUCUCCAGCCACAUGUAGAUCAUUCCAAGGAUAAUACUACUUACAUUUAUUUAUUUAUAUAGAGUUAUAUUUAUAUGUGUAUAUAAGUGAAUGUAAACUUUUUUCCAUUUAGGAAAAAGCUGUGAUUAGGGCAUGCAAGCUGAAGCAAACUACUGACUAUCUAUUUUGUUCAAGAGCUCUGGAAUAAUUUUUUUCCUCUUGCUCCUCGUCAUUUUUCCAGCCAUAUGGAUUUGCCAGUUCACUGCAUCAUUGCAUGUUUAUAACACAGCAUUUCUUCAGCAGCUGUCACUAUCUCAUAAUGCCAUAGUACAUCUUGUAUACUGAGUUGCAGGCCACAGUGUGAUAGAAAAGAGCUUACACUUUAAGAAAAAAAAACAAACCAACAAAACUUGACAUCCAUUUGGAUCUUGGUUGUGGAUAGAAAAAAAGGCAGGGAAAGUGCUAUGAACCCUCUCAGAUAUGUCCAUUGCUCCAGCUUUGUGUCAGGUUACUAAUUGACCACCAGGGCUUGACCUUUAGCAUGAUACAGUUUAGGAUACAUAAAGGAUGGGCUCCUCUUUCUCCUUGGCUCUCCUCUGUCAUACAGACUGGGAGCCUGACUUGCUGUCUACUUCUAAGUUGUGUUUUUGACAGGGAAAAAGAUGGGUGAAAAUAGAACAGGUACAUUCCUACACAAAAGCUGUGUGCCAAUUUUGGAGAUUUCAAUGAAGGGGAUAAAAGCUGCCCUCAGUCUUGGCCAUAGGGAUGCAUUCAGGUAACAGCUGAGAUGCCAAAACAUUGAUUGA